AAGGAUUUGCAAUGGACGCUUCAACGGCCUUUCACGCCGUCGACAGGGGUUCAAAUCCCCUUGGGGACGCCA
rnacentral:tRNA from 1 species